rnacentral:rRNA from 1 species
AUUAAACGCUGGCGGCAUGCCUUACACAUGCAAGUCGAACGGUAGCGCGGGGCAACCUGGCGACGAGUGGCGAACGGGUGAGUAAAGCAUCGGAACGUGCCCUGGAAUGGGGGAUAACGUAGCGAAAGUUACGCUAAUACCGCAUAUUCUGUGAGCAGGAAAGCAGGGGAUCGCAAGACCUUGCGUUCUGGGAGCGGCCGAUGUCGGAUUAGCUAGUUGGUGGGGUAAAAGCCUACCAAGGCGACGAUCCGUAGCGGGUCUGAGAGGAUGAUCCGCCACACUGGGACUGAGACACGGCCCGGACUCCUACGGGAGGCAGCAGUGGGGAAUUUUGGACAAUGGGCGGAAGCCUGAUCCAGCCAUGCCGCGUGAGUGAAGAAGGCCUUCGGGUUGUAAAGCUCUCUCGGUGGGGAAGAAAUUGCACGGGUUAAUACCCUGUGUAGAUGACGGUACCCGACUAAGAAGCACCGGCUAACUACGUGCCAGCAGCCGCGGUAAU